AUCAUAAAUGGAAGUUUUGUUUACAUUCAAUUUAGUGAAGUUGUCAUCCUAAUAGCAAUUUUAACAUUUUUUUUUGUUUCUUAUUUAGAUAUGGCCUAUAAUACCAAAUGUCUGGCUGUCUCCAAAACAAGGCAAUGACCACACGUUCAACGCGGAUCAUUCGUUUUGUCAUCGAAAUUGACUCAUUUUAUCUUCUGAAUUGCUCAGGAAACCUGAUUGGCGUUACCUGUUAACUUCAUCUUGUCAUGCCACUGAAUUUAAAUUUCGUUUACAUUUUAUUUCUUGAUCUAGCCAUUUAGGUAAUGACCGGGAAGAUGCGGCCUAUACAUGAACAUCAUUUAGGCGGCCAGCAUCAUUCGACUACCCAACCGAGUCUCAACACAGCACGGAGUUUUACACUUUAAAUUUUGGCUGUUCGCAAUUUGUGAUGGCGUUUCCUUGGACGAGAUAUGAUUUGGCGAGAAAAAUAUUGCGGACGAUUUCAUGCUGUCCUUUACCAUGGACCAAUCUCUCAUUCCAUCUGAGAACUUUGGAUAACUGAUUGGUGGUUUCAUGUGUUUCUAAAUUGGCAUGACAGACUUUAUGAGAAGUAAUGUCCUUUCAAGAAAGAAACAAGGUCCCUUGUUUGCUAAUCCAAUAGCUGCUACCCUUGAAUCUCCCCUAUUACUUCCUUAAACGGGCCUUCUUGAUUUGAGGGUAAUCCUUUGCUUCUUAUUGUGGACUUCAACCAUUGCUGGAAGCCUGGAAACCAACCUUGAGAGCAUGCUGUCAUUCAAGACUGUUGAAUUGUGUAGUUAGCUAAAUUACAAGUGCAUAUCUGGGCUCCCUUCUUUUCUGUGGCCCCGUUUCCCUAACUAACCACUAACCAACGCCCGCCGGUGGUCACUCACCCGCUGUGAAACCAGGAGGAG